rnacentral:rRNA from 1 species
UGUGGUGCUUUUAGCUUUGAUUAUAAAUCACCUAAAUCCGUUCCGAACUUAGAAGUGAAGGAUCAAAGGGUAUGCUAUACUGCUAGGGACACCUGGUGGAAAAUUCAUACUAGCGCCAUGA